GAGCGGAGAAGAAGGCCUCCCGGUGAAGAUGGACAGCCCGGAACGACAAAGCCUCCCCACCGGACGGUCCCUGCAGCAUAGAUGGCCCGGACCAGCUCACCCUUCCUUCCCACCGAGGGGAGUCUCAUAGGACAGGAGUGAGCACAGAGGAGUGCUAGUCCACGCCUCACUUCCUGGAUUUUCCCCCAGUCUGUACUGCAGCUAGGACAAAGAUGAUGUUGCAGCCAGACAGGAAUAUGUUCUGGAUGAUUCAGAAUCUUUUUCCUCUGUAGGUUUGCAGAGAUCUGGGAGUAAAGCCUCUGCUAAAAGAAGACACCUUGUGUGCAAAAUGGUGACAAUCCUCUGCCUGAUGACAGCGACUACACAACUUGUCUGUCAUACCGACCUAUCCCUCCGACCUCUGAAGAGACAACUAUUAGGGACAUGUAUAUUUGGGUCAAAGACUCUAUUUCUGUCGCAUCUCUUCUAACGAAUAUGAUUCCCCAGAGUUAAGAAAGAUAAUAUUUCCUUCUGGAAAGACAUAAAAAAUGAA